CCCAAUCUCUUAGAAGCAGAGGGGCGCUAUUGUGUUCGUUACGCGUUUUAUACUCAGCAGCGAAGAGGUCAAAGGAAUGCAAUAGUCUAGCCGUCGUUCACUGCUCCCCUUUUGCGCUGGAGAUUUAGGGGUGACCCCGGGUGAGAGAGGCGACUGAGCUGUGCUGUGUUACAAAGAGAUCCGCAGCGUUACUCAGCCUCAGAAGAAAUCGGUGUCAACCAGGCCUGGCCCAUCAAUUCCAGCAGGAAGGUGAACACUCUCCUUAUCCCUAAAACAAUGCUCCUGUGCAGCGAUGUGAUAUAAGGGAACGAACCCUGACUGCACACAAGGAUGGGACCUGGAUUCCUGGACUGGAACACUGGAAUACAGACAGGAACAUGAGAACAGGAAGCCAGAACACAGGAACAGUGAUC